UGACACAUUAAUUCAAUACAGGAAUAGCACAUAAAUCCAAUAUAAUGAAUUCACGUUUCACUUUUGUUAUGCCCAAGUUUCCACAGAAGUGACACAU